rnacentral:rRNA from 1 species
UACGGAGGAUCCAAGCGUUAUCCGGAUUUAUUGGGUUUAAAGGGUGCGUAGGCGGCCUAUUAAGUCAGGGGUGAAAGACGGUAGCUUAACUAUCGCAGUGCCUUUGAUACUGAUGGGCUUGAAUGUACUUGAGGUAGGCGGAAUGUGACAAGUAGCGGUGAAAUGCAUAGAUAUGUCACAGAACACCAAUUGCGAAGGCAGCUUACUAAAGUAUGAUUGACGCUGAGGCACGAAAGUGUGGGGAUCAAACAGG